rnacentral:rRNA from 1 species
AUGGCGAAAGGAGCAGCCGGAGGAGGAGGGGGAGGGGGCGCCGUGAAGACGGCCCUGGUCGUCACCGGCGGCCUCGUCCUCGCCUGGCUCACCGUCGAGUCCGCCUUCAAGCCCUUCCUCGACCGCCUCCGCGGCGCCGUCUCCCGCUCCACCGACCCCGCCCGCGACCCCGACGAGGACACCGCCGCCCCCGCCCCCGCCCCCGAGGAGGACAAGUCGCCCGCCACCGCCGCCGUCGCCGCCGCUGUCGCCUCCGCCGUCGCCGAGGAGAAGGACCCCGCCGUCGCCGCGGCCGAGCCGUCCGCGCCCCCGCUCCCGGCCGAGGCCUCGGUGGAGAGCGAGGAGAAGGGAGCGGACAGGGAGGUCGAGCUGGGCGAGAAGGGGGAGGCGGCCGUGGCCGCCAAGGCCGAGUGA